CACGUAGGGGGCGAGCGUUGUCCGGAAUCAUUGGGCGUAAAGAGCUCGUAGGCGGCUCGGUAAGUCGGGUGUGAAACCCCCAGGCUCAACCUGGGGACGCCACCCGAUACUGCUGUGGCUAGAGUCCAGUAGGGGAGUGUGGAAUUCCAGGUGUAGCGGUGAGAUGCGUAGAUAUCUGGAGGAACACCGGUGGCGAAGGCGGCAUCCUGGACCGGUAUUGACGCUGAGACGCGAAAGCUAGGGGAGCAAACGGG
rnacentral:rRNA from 1 species